UACAGAGGGGGCAAGCGUUGUUCGGAAUUACUGGGCGUAAAGGGCGCGUAGGCGGCCUGCUAAGUCGAACGUGAAAUCCCCGAGCUCAACUCGGGAACUGCGUCCGAUACUGGCAGGCUUGAAUCCGGGAGAGGGAUGCGGAAUUCCAGGUGUAGCGGUGAAAUGCGUAGAUAUCGAGAGGAACACCUGCGGCGAAGGCGGGUUGCUGGGCUGACACUGACGCUGAGGCGCGAAAGCCAGGGGAGCGAACGGG
rnacentral:rRNA from 1 species